rnacentral:rRNA from 1 species
GAUGAACGCUAGCUACAGGCUUAACACAUGCAAGUCGAGGGACCGGCGCACGGGUGAGUAACACGUAUCCAACCUGCCCUUUAAUCGGGAUAGCCUUUAGAACGAAAGAUUAAUACCCGAUGUAAAGGAGGGGGAUGAGUUCAAUUAGGUUGUUGGUGAGGGAACGGCUCAACAAGCGUUCGAUGGAUAGGGGUUCUGAGAGGAAGGUCCCCCACAUUGGAACUGAGACACGGUCCAAACUCCUACGGGAGGCAGCAGUGAGGAAUAUUGGUCAAUGGGCGUUAGCCUGAACCAGCCAAGUAGCGUGAAGGAUGAAGGCUUAUGGGUCGUAAACUUCUUUUAUAUAAGAAUAUGUAUUAUAUGAAUAAGGAUCGGCUAACUCCGUGCCAGCCGCCGCGGUAAUAC